rnacentral:misc_RNA from 1 species
GAUGAAGAACGUAGCGAAAUGCGAUAAGUAGUGUGAAUUGCAGAAUUCAGUGAAUCAUCGAAUCUCUGAACGCACAUUGCGCCCCUUGGUAUUCCAUGGGGCAUGCCUGUUCGCGCGUCAUUUGUACCUUCAAGCUCUGCUUGGUGUUGGGUGUUUGUCUCGCCUCUGCGUGUAGACUCGCCUUAAAACAAUUGGCAGCCGGCGUAUUGAUUUCGGAGCGCAGUACAUCUCGCGCUUUGCACUCAUAACGACGACGUCCAAAAGUACAUUUUUACACUCUUGACCUCGGAUCAGGUAGGGAUACCCGCUGAACUUAAGCAUAUCAAUAAGCGGAGGA